CAGAAUAUAGUUUAUAUAAAAUAUUAAUUUUGGAGAUUAAAGUAAUUUAAGAGUUAUUCUGA
rnacentral:tRNA from 1 species